rnacentral:rRNA from 1 species
GAUGAACGCUGGCGGCGUGCCUAAUACAUGCAAGUCGAGCGAACAGACGAGGAGCUUGCUCCUCGGACGUUAGCGGCGGACGGGUGAGUAACACGUGGAUAACCUACCUAUAAGACUGGGAUAACUUCGGGAAACCGGAGCUAAUACCGGAUAAUAUAUUGAACCGCAUGGUUCAAUAGUGAAAGACGGUUUUGCUGUCACGUAUAGAUGGAUCCGCGCCGCAUUGGCUAGUUGGUAAGGUAACGGGUUACCAAGGCAACGAUGCGUAGCCGACCUGAGAGGGUGAUCGGCCACACUGGAACUGAGCCACGCUCCAGACUCCUACGGGAGGCAGCAGUAGGGAAUCUUACGCAAUGGGCGAAAGCCUGACGGAGCAACGCCGCGUGAGUGAUGAGGGUCUUCGGAUCGUAAAACUCUGUUAUUAGGGAAGAACAAAUGUGUAAGUAACUAUGCACGUCUUGACGGUACCUAAUCAGAAAGCCACGGCUAACUACGUG